AGGAUACAUUGUGAAAUGAUUAAUGACUCCAUCUUAAGAUGGGGAAAUUGAGGCUACCAGAAGUUAUGUAACUUGCAGGAUGCUUUCAAUUACAUCAGCCCCACUAGGAGAAACGAGGAUGAUCUCCUUAUCUGAAGAUCCUUAUCAAAAGUCCCUUUUGCCAUAUAAGGGAAUAUUCACAGUUAACUGGAGGUCCCCAACCAUUUGAACCCGUGGUGCCGGGAGCCGCACUGGCCUCUCUGGAUGGCAGUCACAGAAAGGAUAUGGUAGCG